rnacentral:rRNA from 1 species
UACGGGGGGAGCAAGCGCUGUUCGGAUUUACUGGGCGUAAAGGGCGCGUAGGCGGUCAGCACAAGUCAGUUGUGAAAUCUCCGGGCUUAACUCGGAAAGGUCAACUGAUACUGUGCGACUAGAGUGCAGAAGGGGCAACUGGAAUUCUCGGUGUAGCGGUGAAAUGCGUAGAUAUCGAGAGGAACACCUGCGGCGAAGGCGGGUUGCUGGGCUGACACUGACGCUGAUGCGCGAAAGCCAGGGGAGCAAACGGG